CCGUGGUGCUGCUGGAGGGAAGUGAAGUGGUCUCAUGCGAGAACACUUCAAAAAGAGUUCUUCCUUUUCUCUAAAUAAUCGGACGACAUCUACACUCUACAGUUUGUCCGACGCGUCCCGUUGGGCGCAGUGAAUGUGAGCGUGUCGGAAUGAGCUACGCUUAAAACAACCACAAGAAAACCACAAGCAGAAAACUGUGCAGCUCAGACUUUUAUUUGUUGUCAACGUCACAAAACAUUUUUCAAACAGACAAAAGAACACAACCACGUUCCCUUCCUGCUUCCUGCUGUAGCGAAGCCAGUAAACGUUUAGAUGUUUGGAUUGGACCACGUGACCUCAGGCAUUUUACAUAUUUACAUUAUUUGUAUUUAGUUUUUCAAAUGUUCUUUUAUUUUAGGGACCAAAUGUAGCUUAAUGUAUCGGAUCAGAUACGACGACGAAUGAAAAGGUUCCAUGAAAGUCGGAAGGAUUAAACUGUUCUAUCUUCUCCUAUUUAUAGUUUAUCUGACGCUCUUUCCUACUUGAGUGAAGACCAAAAGCUUUGGGUGGGUUUCAUCACCGCGUGGAGACCCUCGGCCUUCACCGACCCGCCUCCGGACCUGCGUUGCCACGGAGACGCCUGCAGGUGGCGCCAAAUCCGGUUUGGAUCCCCGCGCGUUGACUACGUCGAACUAAAUCGCCGCAGACGUCGUCGGUGUGCGGACUGUGAGCGCCGAUCCGGCCUACUUUGUGUUUCACGGAACGACGCAGCCCAGCCGAGCGCCACUGGGCUCCGGUGCUGCGAGGUACAAUAUCUCACACCGUCACCAAGAGACGGUGACGGAGAGAAAACACGGCCGGAGGCGGAUGUUCCCAUCACCGGACACGGCCCACGCCGUCAGAGCCACCAGCCGCGUUUCUAAAUUUCAAUUAUAAAUAAAUAUCGGUUAUUAUUUACAUGUCGAAAUAAGGUAACCUCGCCCACAUUUAAAUACAUUUAGCGUGUGUCUCACAAUACGAACGAUUUACUCCGAAGACAUUCAAAUGACGUAGCUUUAUUUAGACGCUCUCAGCCAGACGCUUCAUUUACAAAAUGAAUAAAUACCUUAAUACAAAUGUAGUUAAGACUACCGUGAACGCAAACGAUCCCCAGCUGACAGCUUCAGGCCGUUGACCCCCACUUGGCGAAAGGCCAAUUAUUUGAAUUAAAGGUGCGUUGCAUUCUGCUUCGAGGGGGUUUUACGUUAUUAUUCAUUUAUUACACGAAUAUUCCCGGCGUUAAGAGUUCGCCUCGUUUUUCCUGCCGUAACCUCGUAUCGAACUACGCAUUGCGCCCACCCAGUCAAAGCAACGUGCACGCACACACACGCGCACGCACGCGCGCUGAUGCAUAUACACUUGGGUGCAGGUGCACCCCCUCUCUCUCUCUCUCGCGGCGGCGUGACAGUGCACCGCUGCGUCCCGCUGCCGGGCCGCGCGUCCGCCCCGCCGGAGGGUCAGCGCGCGUAACGGCGAGGAAGCCACGCACUCGGGGGCACGACGGGACGAGGACACGUGGACGCGCGCGGGGAGGCCGUGGUGUGGGUUCCUCUCUUGGCAUUCACCGCGUGCCUUAAUUGUAUGGACAUUAAAUCAAGGUCCGCUGUGAACACGCAGAGGGACAACCCGGGAGGAAGUCGCGUCCUCGCGCCCCGCCGACGUGCGCGGAAUGAACUUCCGCGAGCUCCACACUCCCCCCCCCCCCACCCCACUCCCCCCUUCCUCCCCCCCGCACGAGACCGCAUGACACACACACACACACACACACCCGUGCGUAAGCGCAUGUAGGACACUCAAAUCUAAAGCCGAUUUAUAGCUCACGCCAGCAAAAACCCGCGCGCUUUCCCUGCGCCUCUUUUGGAUUCCAAAUUCUAAGCAAAUAGAUAUUGAAUCACUGCGCCACGGCUCGGCUCUAGAUACCCCGACCCCCCCCUCCCCCCCCUCACCCCCCGGCUGUGCGUCUUUUACGCAUCUCCUGGCACAAAAUGACAGCUGAAGCUACACAAGUGCUCUCGCUUUUGUCCGCUCGAUUUACAACAUCAGCCCCCCCCCCGCCCCCCCACC
ensembl:lncRNA